rnacentral:tRNA from 1 species
AAUAAUAUGCCUGAAUAAAGGGCUAAUUUGAUAGAUUAGAUUAUGUGAAAUUUUUAUAUCUUUA